GUCCAUUCAGAUUUAGUGUGCUUUAUGAAAUAAUAGAAUUUAGUCCUUCCUUUGGUGUAGCACAAUUCUGUGGUUUAUUUAUUUUUUUUAAUACCUUCUAGCUCAAUAUGACUUCUAAGGACUACUCUGAGUAAGCACAUAAAAUCUUGAGAUGAGGUCCUGUAGUUUUGGUUUUUUUGUUUUUGUUUUUGUUUUUGUUUUUUUUUUAUAAUGAACAAAAAAGAAUUAUAGGAAGGUAGCUGAAGCAACAUGUAGAUGGCUUAUGAUUUUCUGUUAAAUUCCUUGGCAUUUAUUUAACAAAUUAUGAUUUUUGUCUUCUGCUGCUACUAAGCCUCAUAGGGAUGUAAAUUUUGCAUGUUCUCCUUUACCUCAUUUGAUGUUUACCAAUUAUUAGUUUGGGAACCUUUACUUUUGGAGUUGUUAAGAGACUUGGCCCUCUUCUGGAAGUAUGCUUAUCAUCCAUGGGGCAUGUGGCUUUACAUCAGCAUUCUACUAGAUAAGCACACUGAGUUCCUCUUUAAAGUGUGGAGGGUCUUCCUUCAUGGUUUCAUCUGAAUUUAGAGGCAAGCAGACAGGAGAAGCAAGACACAGUGACAAUCACAGGAGCAUUAAUUAUUCCUUUCCUGUCUGCUCUUGGAUACCUGUAGUGGUCAUGAAAGGUGGGCAGAUACAUCCUGCAGUUGACUGAGAAACUUUGUACCUAGAUACUACAGUGGUGAACAGCAGUAAGAGUUCACUGAAUCCUUACAGAUAGUUUCUACAGAACAUCAGACUAAUGGAACUUUCAGUUCACCCAUUACCUAACCAUACAAUUUGCUAACAUUAAGGUUUUGAACCUGUAUGUUUUACAAAAGAAGCAUUGAAUGAACACUGACAUAAAAGCAAGCUUCAGCUCUGUGGGACAAAAAACACACUUGUGAAUUUUCCCCUAUUUUCCUCUCUUAUUGCAUGUUGGUAAUAUUUUCUGGGAAAAUAUCACCCAAAGAACAUUUCUUAUCAUCAUGUGUCUUUCUUGAAGAACAGUAUUUCUUUU